rnacentral:rRNA from 1 species
AUGCUCCUCCUCGCUCCCACCCCGCCGCCGUCGCCGGCCACCGCUCACCGGCGACCGGGUGGCAGCGCUGCCUCGUGCAUCCGCUGCUCGAGCGUGCGAGAGCUUGAUAGGUCCCCGAGCCGCCCGCCGCUGCCGGCGCUGGCGGAGGCAAAGCGGGUGGUGCUGGUGCGGCACGGGCAGAGCACCUGGAACGCGGACGGACGCAUCCAGGGGAGCUCCGACUUCUCCGUGCUCACGCCCAAGGGGGAGUCCCAGGCCGAGACAUCCCGCCUCAUGCUCCUCGCCGACUCCUUCGACGCCUGCUUCACCAGCCCGCUCGCCCGGUCCCGCCGCACCGCGGAGAUCAUCUGGGACAGCCGCGAUAAGGACCUCAUCCCGGACUACGACCUCCGCGAGAUCGACCUCUAUUCCUUCCAGGUGGGCACCUGCUCGCUCGCUCGCUCGCUUGAUGUUUGUGCAAAUGCUUGGCAGCCGGCAGGUGCCUGCGGAAAUGCCACACUGACGAGCGGGAUUUGUUUGCAGGGGCUCUUGAAGCAUGAAGGGAAGGAGAAGUACGGGGCUCUGUUCCAGCAGUGGCAGAAGAGUCCAUCAGACUGCAGCAUCGAUGGGCACUACCCAGUGCGGGAGCUCUGGGACCGAGCCCAGGGCUGCUGGGAGAGGAUCCUGACACACGAGGGCAAGUCCGUGCUUGUGGUUGCGCACAAUGCAGUUAACCAAGCGCUCGUCGCCACAUCCCUGGGACUUGGCACGGAGUACUUUCGGACUCUGCUCCAAAGCAACUGUGGCGCUAGUGUGCUGGAUUUCACCCCACAGCCCGGUGGACGCCCUCCAAAUGUGUGCCUUAACCGCUUAAAUCAGACCCCGAACUCUCCUAUUUCUGCCGAAAGUUCUGCAGGUAGAAAGUCGAGCAAGCGGAUCAUUCUAGUUUGUCAAGGGGCUACACAGAGCAGUUCUGAGGGUAGUUUAGGCGGAGUGGGUUAUGCACCGCUGAACAUGCUGGGUGUUAUACAGGCUCAGAAGACCGCGGAACUGCUUCUAGAUCUGAAGGUGAACAGUAUUAUCUGUAGCCCACAAGUCGCAGCUGUUGAUACCGCAACUGCCAUAUGUGAGGUCCAAGAGGCUGCUGAUUGCUUAGGUGCUGACUGUGUGCCUCGUUACGUUGAAAUGAAGAAUUUGCUUGGACUCGAAAUUGAUGAUGCCUUUCUAACAAAGCAAAAGAGCCUUGAACAGAUAGUUCAGUCUGGUUGGAUGGGCGGCAUGGAACACCAAAAGCUAAAGACAUUGUGGGCUCAGUCAGAGGAUGCAUGGCAAGCUUUGGUAAACGAAUUGCCAGAGGAUGAUGGUGCUGAGUCAGACCAAGUCGUUGUCGCCAUCGGCCAUCCUGCCAUCCACCUAGGACUGCUCUGCAGGUGUCUGAACCUAACAAUGGAUUACAUGCCAUCUUUUCAUCUGGACGACGGCAGCAUCAGCGUGAUCGAUUUUCCAGAUGGGCCGAAAGGAGGAGGUAUCGUCAGAUGCACGAAUUACACGGCCCAUUUGGGCAGAUGGUCGUUACCCAUCACAAAAUCAACAGAAAACAAUGAUGAAUUCUGA